GCCUCUCCAUAAAUGGGGGUAAGGCUAGCCGACAUUCACCUCUCCCAGACCCUGCGUAAAGCGGGAGCCUUGUGCACUGGGUACGACCUUUUUGUCGUAUUGUGAUAAUCAUCUUCCCAUUAAAUUUUGUACUGUAAAGUCAAUAGUCAUAUCAUUCUUCCUACCUAAUGAAAUCUCUUGACUGUUUCUCUACAUGUAUUACUCUUCUUUCCAAUUAGUGCACCUGUUGUAUGAAAUUGGAUAUACUUAUUUAUUUCAAACAUCAAACCUUAGGUAUUUUAUUGUUAAAAGUUGCAACCGAGAAAAUUUGGAAUUAUCUGUACAACAAGGAUUAUGGGCAACUCAGAGGAGCAACGAGUCCAAACUUAAUGAAGCUUUUGACUCUGCUGAAAAUGUGAUUUUAAUUUUCUCAGUCAACCGGACUCGACAUUUCCAGGUAGGAUUGCAAAUUACAUCCCAAUGUUUUUCACAUCGCUUUCUAUUUUUAGUUAUAUCAAGUUAUCCACUGGGGGUGCUAGAAUUAAAAUUGCCUAUUCUUUGUUAGGGUUGUGCAAAGAUGAUGUCCAGAAUUGGUGGGUCUGUUGGUGGAGGGAAUUGGAAAUAUGCACAUGGAACCGCACAUUAUGGGCGAAAUUUCUCUGUCAAAUGGUUAAAGGUAUAAUUUUGUUUAAACUUUAUGGCAACCUUCUACUCAUUGAGCUAGAAUUUGAUUCCCUCUUUGAUAUUUUUUUCUGCUGCAAACAAACAGGAUCCUACAAAAUUUCUUGUGAGAAUUAUCAAGUCUGUUUUAUUAUUGUUGUUGUUCUCACUCUUACUGAUUGGCAUGCUAAGGAGUAUGGCUUUGCUUUUAUGUUCCUUGUUAGUUGUAGUUCACAUUAUCUGUUUUAUUUGUUUGAGGGCUUGUAUCUUAAUAGUUACUUAAUUCUUUUGAUCCUAUGAUCUCAAAUUGUUGGCUUGAAUCAAGAUUGGAGUUGAUUGUACUCGUAUCGACUUUAAGUUAUUUGGACUUAUUUCAAUGUUUCAAUUCAUAGCAUACCUAAACCCCCAUCUGUGUGCCAACUUGAGUCAAGUUUCAGUUGGGAUCACUACUUCCAUCUGGAAAUUAGGAGAAGCUAUUAUGAUGGAAGACCUCAGUUUAAAAUUUAAUGGGCAUGGAUAAGCAGUAAAUGAUAAGAUGUGAUGACUAAUUGCAGUUUCUUUGAUGCAGCUAUGUGAACUAUCCUUUCACAAAACUCGUCAUUUGAGGAACCCCUACAAUGAGAACCUACCAGUGAAGGUACAAUCUGGAGCCUUAAAACUAUAGAAACACCCACGUAAACACCAUUUGAUUUUUGUCUGUUCUUUCUUGAUUGAUUGUGAAAUCACCCAAUUUUUAUUUCUGUCAGGAUUUUCAUUAUGUAUCAGUAUGCAGCUGGUUUGUCAUGCUAUCCAUGAUUUAGACAGCUGAAAACAUUUUCUUACAUUUAUAAAAGACAUUCAUUAAUCAAAAUGAAAGUUACGAUCCAGGGGACUCGGAGUCCACUGAACAGUCUUGAGUAUCAAACUUAAAUUGAUAACCAAAACCUAAAAAAUAAUACAAUAUAACCCAUAUGACUAAAUGUACAAUCCAUCAAUACAUAUGUGUGCAUGUAUUUUUGUGGGUCCUUUGUGGUUUGUGUGUGUGUGUGUGUGGUAUUAACAGAUAAGUUAGCAUUGUUUAGAACGAUACUGAAGUUAUUGUCUAAUGUCAUGAUGUAUCACUUGGCCGAGUGCUGCUUAAAUAUAAGUGUUGAUGCAUCACUUGGUUCUUAAAUAGAACAAAUCUGAUAGAAUAUCAUGUUAAUAACUUCUUUACGUGUGCGCCUAUUUUUUAUUAGCUGUUUCACCAUGCGUUUUCACUUGCAAUCAUUACUAUUGUCAACAUGUAUGCUUGCUCAUGUGAUACUACUUUCUUGUGUAGACAUACCUUGAGACGAAAAAAAUAACUUCUGAUCUUAUUGUCGUGCUUGUACUCUUGCAGAUAAGUAGAGAUUGUCAAGAGCUAGAGCUCUCCGUCGGUGAGCAGUUGGCAUCCUUGCUUUAUCUUGAGCCAGAUAGUGAACUUAUGGUAUGUUCGAAGUUCACAGGAAACUAGUUAAAUUUUGCGAAAAAGAAAUUGAAGUGAAAAAAAAAAGGUUAAAAGGAAAGAAAGCAAAAAGAGAGAAAGCAAUAGAAUUCCAAAAGUAUUUACACUGUGUUUAUCAAUUAAUUUUUAACAUAGGAAUUUAUCUCGAUACUUCUCCUCUCUUAGUUUUCAUUUGUGUCGUCCAUUAAAUUAGAGGCCAUUUUGCUGUUAAAUUAGAGGCCAUUUUGCUGUUAAAUUAGAGGCCAUUUUGCUGGGGCAGGACAAGAUCUGUUUUGCACUAUAAUGUGUCCUUUGCUUUUAAUUUUAUGUUGUUAAAUGGUCAGAACUUGAUGAAUCUGAAUCUUGUUUAUCGCUCUCUGCGUACAGGCAAUUUCGAUUGCGGCAGAAUCAAAACGCGAAGAAGAAAAAGCAAAGGGAGUCAAUCCAGAGAAUGGUGGUGAGAAUCCAGACAUUGUCCCAUUUGAGGACAAUGAAGAGGAGGAAGAGGAAGAAAGUGAAGAUGAGGAAGAUAGCUUUGGUCAAGUUCCCGGAGCAGGAAAUGAUGGCAGAGGAAGGGGCAGAGGAGGAGGAGUCAUGUGGCCUCCUCACAUGGCUCUACCAAGAGGUGGCAGACCUAUGCCCGGGAUGCAGGGUUUUCCCCCAGGAAUGAUGGGUCAUGAUGCAAUGCCCUAUGUACCUGACGGAUUUGUAAUGCCAAAUCCGUUCGGUAUGGCCCCUCGGGGUUUCAAUCCGUAUGGUCCCAGGUUUUCAGGUGAUUUUACAGGGCCCAACCCUGGCAUGAUGUUUCGUGGGAGACCACAACAACCUGGAUUUCCACCCGGUGGGUUUGGGAUUAUGGGUCCUGGACGUGCACCAUUCAUGGGAGGGAUACAUCCAGGCCGAGGUGGUCGGCCAACAGGUAUGUCUCCAAUGUUUCCACCACCCCCACCACCAUCAUCUCAAAACCCUAACCGGAUGCCGAAGAGAGAUCCAAGGGGAGCUUCCACUGAUCGGAAGGGACAAGAUAUGUCAGGUCCAGAUGAUGAGACACAUUAUGGUGCUGGAAACAGCUCUAGAAAUGAUGAUAGCGAAAGUGAGGAUGAGGCCCCGAGGCGGUCGAGGCAUGGAGAUGGAAAGAAGAAACGGCGAGACUCGGAAGGAGAUGCGACCUCCGAGCACUAGCAGCUCAGCAGUACUAGUGAUGCCAUGCCCAUGCCACUAACGAGGGAAACCCGUCUUCCUCCACACCAUAGGCUGACCGCAUUUUCUUAGAAAAUGGAAGGGUUUCAUUCGGGAUAUAUGGAUUCUUUAGUGCUACUGAUGUCUUUCCUUUUUGUUACAAGUUUGAAAUAUGCGGUAAAUUCUGUGAUAUUUUUGUAACUAUCCUGGUAAAUUCUGCGACAUUCACCUCUCUCAGACCUUGCGUAAAGCGGGAGCCUUGUGCACUGGGUACGACCUUUUAUCCUGGUAAAACAAAAGGUAAAAGGUCAAGGUAGCUGAAUUUAUAAUUAUAUAACUUUUUUUUAAUCCUCUGCAGCUAGUUCGAAUCGAUUUAGUACAGAAUACCGUUAGUAUAAAAAUAAAGCG
rnacentral:lncRNA from 1 species